UACGAAGGGGGCUAGCGUUGCUCGGAAUCACUGGGCGUAAAGCGCACGUAGGCGGACUCUUAAGUCGGUGGUGAAAUCCUGGAGCUCAACUCCAGAACUGCCUUCGAUACUGGGAGUCUCGAGUCCGAGAGAGGUGAGUGGAACUGCGAGUGUAGAGGUGAAAUUCGUAGAUAUUAGGAAGAACACCAGUGGCGAAGGCGGCUCACUGGUCCGGUACUGACGCUGAGGUGCGAAAGCGUGGGGAGCGAACAGG
rnacentral:rRNA from 1 species